rnacentral:lncRNA from 1 species
CAAGUUAUUGGAAGUGCUUCGGAGCCAAUUAUGGAAUUUCGGAGCGAGGUAAGUCUCCUUUCUCACCUUGUAAGAGAGAAUUAACUCCAUAGGUGAAAUAACUCAAUAUGUGCUUCUAUUUGUGGGGGCUACGUGCGCACGAGGUGAUGAGAGUCCGUGCGUAACUACUAUUAUGCUUAAGUCCGGGUAGUCUAGGACCCAAAUCAUGCUAUAUUUAUAACGUUUGCAACCUUAUUGUUAAUCUAAAUUUAUUAAAUCAUAUCGAACUUGGUGAAGGAAUAUUUUAAAAAAAGAGGAUAAACUUCGUUUUCUUGACUGUUAAAUGAGAAUUUGGCAUUUCCUUGAAUAAUUGCUCCUUAAUAAAAUUCUUGAUUUGGUUGUUUGAAUGUGUUUUUCUUUUGUGGAGAGGGUCGAACGCUUCGGCAGAUUAUAUAGAUGCAUCUAUGGUUCAUGUCGUUCGACCCUCAACAGUGCAUAGCUUAUAUUUAUAUGUUGGAUCGUGUCAUACGACCUCGACAUGAUUUGCGCAUGAUUUAAUUGAUUGCUUUGAAAUUUAUAAUAAAUGAUAUUGCCUCAUUGGCCUGAGAUAAAUUGUUAAAUGAUGAGGAAUAAAUUUGGAGAUUUCUUAAUUAUAAAAGAAUUGCUUACCACUUCAUAAUAUUGAGGUUACAGUCGUUCUAUAUAAUCCAUGUUUAAAUUAUAUCAUUGGCAUUUUAUUUAUAGCUCAUAGUAAGUGUCGGAGUCGACCCCUCAUUACUACUUCUUAGAGGUUAGAUUGGAUAUUUACUAGAUACACGUUGUUUACCUACUCAUACUACAUUUGCUGCACAUUUUGUUGUGCAGGAUCAUAUAUAUUUAGUGGCCUUGUAGGCGCAACGGCAUGGUUAAAUGCGGGGACUUAGGUGAGCUGCAUUCCAUAUUACGACCCACAGCCAGCAGAGUCUCCUUCAGAGUAUUUAUAUUUUCUCCCCUGUCCAAAUUUGUAUUCUCGACAAAUGGUGUAUUUUAUUUUAUUUCCUAGUUGAUGCUCAUGCACUUGUGACACAAUAUUUUUGGGUGAUUAUGG